AGCACGGUGGCUCAGUGGUUAGCACAGCAAGAAGGUCCUGGGUUCAAAUCCCAGCCGUCCCA
rnacentral:tRNA from 1 species